CGAUAGACAAGAAGAUAGAUGCGGACUAAUGGGAAAGUACAGUCAAGACAACGACGACGACGACGACGACGAGAUGAUCCGCCGCCGACGUGACGUAUACACAUCGACUGCGGAAGAUCGCGUACAACGCGAACUUCCGGAGGACGUGGUGAUGGUGGUGGUUGCGAAGUAGUGGUGGUAAAGGAGCGGUUGUCACAAUCGUCAAUGAUGACGCAAACCCGAUGGCAGACACGUUGCGUUGCGCGAGCAGUUCGAGGGAACGAACUGGCAGAGCUAGGCGGAGUCGCACUGAUAAAUGGAACCGAUAUACGAGAUCUCCGAGGCACUCCUUCCUCGUGUACCUCGUGCACAGACGCGGAGCGACUCUCUCUCUCUCUCUUUCUGUCCUUCCCCUCUUUCACUUCUGUCUCCCUCUUUCUCUCUCCUUCUUGCUCCGCGACCGACUGACAACUGACAAUUGUCGAGGCACGAAUGAAUGAACAAGACGGUACAUUAUUCUUUAAACCUGAGGUUCGAAAAAGAUAACUUGCAAGUGGUACGGAUCACGCGAUGUGUGUCGACGAUAAAUCAAAUCUAAGAAAAAGAAAACAAUACACAUUUAAUUCGCAGAAAUGUUGCAUCGUUAUCUCGUCGAGCAUCUUUUAAGCGAAGAAUGACGAAUUAUAUGGAGAUAUCUCACAAGGUACAAUGAAUUUUUUUCAAAAUAAAAAAACCAAGGUUAUAGGAGGAAUAGGAUGGCCGAUAGAAAAUUGCAUUAAAAUAACUGAAAUUUACAAAAGAGAAGAAUUAAGAAAAGAAUUUCAUUUUCUUUCACAGUCGAUUAUAUGGCGUUUAUUUAUUUUACAUAUACAUAUAUAUUUAUAGCAACUCAUGAAAUCCUGUAUACGAUAAUUAUAAUACACAGUAAUGUACUGUCUUGCCUAAAAAUAUACUUUAAGAGCGCCAAAUAAAUAAUGCUCUAUUCCUCCUUC